rnacentral:rRNA from 1 species
GAUUAGAGUUUGAUCAUGGCUCAGAUUGAACGCUGGCGGCAUGCCUUACACAUGCAAGUCGAACGGCAGCAUGGAGGAGCCUGCUCCUCUGAUGGCGAGUGGCGAACGGGUGAGUAAUGCAUCGGAACAUACCCAGUCGUGGGGGAUAACGUAGCGAAAGUUACGCUAAUACCGCAUACGUCCUGAGGGAGAAAGCGGGGGAUCGCAAGACCUCGCGCGAUUGGAGUGGCCGAUGUCAGAUUAGCUAGUUGGUGGGUAACGGCCCACCAAGUCGACGAUCGAUAGCUGAUGUGAGAGCAUGAUCAGCCACACGGGCACUGAGACACGGGCCCGACUCCUACGGGAGGCAGCAGUAGGGAAUAUUGGGCAAUGGAGGAAACUCUGACCCAGCAACGCCGCGUGAAGGAUGAAGGGUCUUUGGCUUGUAAACUUCUGUAAAAGGGGAAAAAUAAUCCCGCAAUGCGGGACUUGAUUUACCCUAAAGAAG